UUAACUGAACUGAGACCUAGGCAAACACCCCAGUAUAGAUGCACUUGCUUGAGACAAUUCCAAGUAGAAAAGGCAGCACUCUAGCUUUGCACCUAAGUAGACAAGGACUAACGUUUUGCUGUCAUGGUUAGCAUACCAGAGGAGCCUGGGUUACAAAGACCAGAAGGAACUAAUGCAUCUGAAGGAAAGAUGGUCUGAUAUUAAUAGUGUUUAUACUAAUAGGUAAAGGCCAAAUUAGUGUUUGUUUUGGUUCAAGACAGACAUGAGAAGCACAUAAUGGACAGAAGCCCUACUAAGCCAUCCUCUGUGCUUCCAACAUGCUAAUUAAUUAUGUAAAAGUCGUGCUCUGUUUAAGCAAUGGCAUAGUGGGUUACAAAACAAACUGAAUGUGAGUUCUACUAAGGAGACAAUUAGCAUUCACCAAGAUCUAUGGUUUCAACUACCCUUGAACAUUUACUGUUUCAGCUGACGGUCAACCUUCAGUCUCGAACCCAACACCUCUGUGUGCUAACUGAAAAGUAUGUCAGUGUGCCUUAGAGCUCCCAAGAGCUUUGUAAAACAAUUCCCAGCAAGAUGAUCUUUCUCAGCUACAAAAAUAAAUUCUGAGGCGGCCGC
rnacentral:lncRNA from 1 species